UGGGGAAUAUUGGACAAUGGGCGCAAGCCUGAUCCAGCCAUGCCGCGUGGGUGAAGAAGGCCUUCGGUUGUAAAGCCCUUUUGUUCCGGAAGAAAAGCACUGGAUU
rnacentral:rRNA from 1 species